GAUGGCUCUUAUUUUGCAAAACAUUGACCAAUGGAUUCUGUAAUGCUUAGAAAAAAAAAAUUAGUAAAAGGAAAAAAAUUUUUUUCUCAUCAAGCAAUCAGCUUUUAGUUAGGAGAUUCAUUCACUCCUUCUCUUCUCUUCUCUUCAUUAUAAAUGUGUGUGUUUGUUUGUUCAUAAAGAUAGAGAGAGAAAAAGAGAGACGCUCAAUCAAAGAAAAGUCUUCCAAGAAUAUUCACAAUUUUCCUCUUGCUGCUCAGCUGCAGUCUCCAAAUCUCAUACACAUGCUUUCUUUUUUCUGAAUAAAUUUUCUUUCUGAUCUGGUUUUCCCGGAAAACUUUCUGGGUCGUACCUGUUUUUUUAUUAUCCCAGGAUCCGCAUAUCUCGCGGGUACCAAUCACACACCCAUACAGACUUCUUUGUUGUCGUCUCUUCUCUUUGUUUCCUUUUUGUUUCUACGGCUUUCUUCUAAAGCAAACACCUACAUAAGCUACAUAUUACGUGUAAAGGAAAUAGCUUUCUUGUUUUUUCUUUCAUGGGAUUACUCUUUUAGAACUGAAAAGAUAGGGAAAGAGAAAAACUUGUGAUCUGGUGUUUUAGAUAAUUGCUAGACAAGUUUGAGGUGGUUGAGAGUUUGAAAUUUGGAAUUUUUUUUGAACCACGUUUGAGCUAAUCCCAGUAAGAAAACUGAAGAGAUUGUUUGGUGUUUGAGAGUUUUCCGGACAAAGAGAAAAUACUUGCGUAGUGGGUGCUAAAUAUCAGGAUCUGAUGGCUGAGUUUGGAGGAAAAUGGCGAGGUUUGAGAUCGGUGUUAAUGGUGUCCUUCAACUUUCUAAUAGCUUUCGUGCUUGUUUCAGCAGAGAGAGGCUUGAAGCGUGAAUUUACAAGAGCCCCAGAAACAGAGGAGGGUCUAUCAAGUUAUUUUCUUAAAGCUGCUGAUUUCUUAUGGCAGCCUGAUCAAUCAGGGUAUCAACAUGUUUGGCCGGAAAUGAAAUUUAGUUGGCAAAUUGUUUUAGGUACUAUCAUUGGAUUCUUUGGAGCAGCAUUUGGGAGUGUAGGAGGAGUUGGUGGGGGUGGCAUUUUCGUUCCCAUGCUAAGCUUAAUUAUUGGGUUUGAUCCCAAAUCAGCAACAGCAAUAUCCAAAUGUAUGAUUAUGGGUGCAGCAGCCUCAACUGUCUACUACAACCUUAAGCUAAGGCAUCCUACAAUUGAUAUGCCCAUCAUUGACUAUGAUUUGACUCUCCUCAUCCAGCCAAUGCUCAUGCUGGGAAUUAGUAUAGGAGUUGCUUUCAAUGUUAUAUUUGCAGACUGGAUGGUCACAGUACUGCUUAUUAUUCUCUUUAUUGGUACAUCAACAAAGGCAUUCUUCAAGGGAGUUGAGACAUGGAAAAAGGAAACAAUAAUGAAACAGGAGGCAGCUAAGCGUUCGGAGACGAACAGUAAUGAGGGAGGAGAAGUUGCAUACAAGCCUCUUCCUAGUGGCCCAACCAAUGGUCCUGAAAAGGAAACCAAGGAAGCAGAGGUUACUAUUCUUGAAAAUGUUUAUUGGAAGGAACUUGGGCUUCUUGUUUUUGUCUGGGUUUCAUUCCUUGCAUUGCAGAUUGCCAAGAAUCAUAUGUCUGCAUGUUCAACAGAAUAUUGGAUUGUAAACCUGUUACAGAUUCCAGUUUCUGUUGGGGUGACACUAUAUGAGGCAGUGAGCCUUUACAAGGGAAGGAGAAUAAUAGCAUCGAAGGGAGAAGCUGGCACAAAUUUCAAGGUGCAUCAGCUUGUACUUUACAGUGCGUGUGGUGUACUGGCUGGAGUAGUUGGUGGGCUGCUCGGGCUCGGCGGAGGAUUCAUCAUGGGUCCACUAUUUUUGGAGCUGGGAAUCCCACCUCAGUGCUUAAUGACUUGUUUAUGCAGGUAUCAAGUGCAACAGCCACCUUUGCAAUGACCUUCUCCUCAUCCAUGUCUGUUGUAGAAUACUACCUUCUGAAACGUUUUCCAGUUCCUUAUGCUCUUUACUUUGUUGCUGUGGCUACAUUUGCUGCCUUAAUAGGACAGCACAUUGUAAGAAGAUUGAUCAUUAUGUUCGGAAGAGCAUCACUCAUCAUCUUCAUUCUUGCUUUCACCAUAUUUGUUAGUGCAAUUUCACUAGGUGGUGUCGGAAUAUCAAACAUGAUAUGGAAGAUAGAGCAUCAUGAAUACAUGGGAUUCGAGAACCUCUGCAAGUACGAAGGGUAGGAGUAGGAAGAAGAAUUUAGCUUCAAGAUUAUUUGUUCGUCAUGAGAAUGUGUGUUGAAGGUUCACAGAUGGUGUAAUUAUUUGUUGAAGCUUUAAACAUGAUUCAUGGUUUGUUGUAGCACGAGCUCUUGGGCUUAGGUUGGUGGGAGAAAAUGGUGAUCGCCAACCUGCUUUGGAUUCUCUCAUUGGAACUUUAUCGUAUGAGCUUUCAAGUUCAUAAUUUAACAUUUGCUUUCUAUAACGAAUUUUAUCAAUAGUUAUUUUGAUGGAUGAGGAAAAUUUUAUCUA